rfam:Triticum urartu cultivar G1812 contig1455153, whole genome shotgun sequence.
AUAGGUCAUCGCUGCAGCAUACUCGACUGAUCAAGAAAGGUCGUGGCCUAGAUCAACUGCUCACAUUGCACUUGAUGAGCGUGUUGUUCUACCAUCUCCCCAAUUAGGAGAAUGGACAGCAUAAUUUUUUGUAGAGGGGGCAUGCGUUUGUGCGGCCCCUAC